UACGUAGGGGGCGAGCGUUAUCCGGAUUCAUUGGGCGUAAAGCGCGCGCAGGCGGGCGGCUAAGCGGGACCUCUAAUCCUGGGGCUCAACCUCAGGCCGGGUCCCGAACUGGCCGCCUCGGGUGCGGUAGAGGAGAGCGGAAUUCCCGGUGUAGCGGUGGAAUGCGCAGAUAUCGGGAAGAACACCGAUGGCGAAGGCAGCUCUCUGGGCCGUCACCGACGCUGAGGCGCGAAAGCCGGGGGAGC
rnacentral:rRNA from 1 species